AGAGAAAGAGCGCGAACUCACGGACAAAAAGAAAAAAGAUGGAGGACGGUAACGAAAGAAUACGGACUCACGACGAAAUUUAACAGCUCUCUUAUAUUUGGACAGAAGGCGCACACGUCUCUGUUACGCGGACGGGACGUCGUCUUGGUGAACGUCUCGGGAUGGCGGCGGCGCGGGUGUCGGAGAAGACGAUGAUGAGGCCCUCCAUAGACAGAAGGGGAUGAACGCUACAAUGAUGAAGACGAAGGCCCCCAGGACCACAAGCACGAUGAGGUAAGGCCGGUCUCCGGGGCGGGACACGGGUCCGCUCGAGCCCCGCCCCGUCUCGUGACGGGGUCCCUCGGAGGGGGCGGGCCGGUGGUGGUGGGGGCGAGCCUUGGUCUCCAGGAUGACCACGUUGCCGAAGUCGCUCUCGCCCUUCUCGUUGAAGCUCUGCAUCUUGAUGUCGUAGGCCGUCUCGGGCUGCAGGUCGUUGAUGGAGUGCCAGUAGCGGUUGCCCUCCACCACGUCCUUCUUGUAGUCGCUGUCGUUAUCGCUGUCCGUCGGACGGUAGUAGAUGUAGAAGCCGAAGAUGGGGGUGUUGUUCACUGGUGUGUACUGUGGAAAGAACAGCAGCAAAUGUGUCAAA